rnacentral:rRNA from 1 species
GACGAACGUUGGCGGCGUGCUUAAUACAUGCAAGUCAAUUGAAGCAGUGGUAGCAAUCUCGCUGUGGAGGUGGCGCACGGGUGAGUAACACGUAGGUAAUCUGCCUUCAGGUCUGGCAUAACUCCGGGAAACCGGGGCUAAUAGCAGAUGAUGCAGCGGCUCGACAUCGAGACAGUUGUUAAAGCUAUGGCGCCUGAAGAUGAGCCUGCGUCUGAUUAGCUAGUUGGCGGGGUAACGGCCCACCAAGGCAACGAUCAGUAGCUGGUCUGAGAGGAUGAUCAGCCACACUGGAACUGAGACACGGUCCAGACUCCUACGGGAGGCAGCAGUAAGGAAUAUUGCUCAAUGGGAGAAAUCCUGAAGCAGCAACGCCGCGUGAGGGACGAAGGGCUUUUGCUUGUAAACCUCUGUAGUGAGAGAAAAAAAUCCCAAUCUUUGGGACAUGAUGGUAUCUCAAAAGUAAGCCCCGGCUAACUACGUG